CUCCGACUCUGCCCGGCGUGCGCUAGCGGCAGGGAGGAGGAGCCCCGGGCUGGGACUCCCUGGUCUUGGCUCUGCCACUUUAUGCUCUUUGACUUUGGGAAAUUCCUGUGCCUUCCUCUCUCCGGGCACUGGAUUGCCUCUUCUGUCAAACAAGGUGAUCGGGCCCCAAGGUCCUUUCCAGCUCUGACGAGCUGGAGUCCAGGUUCCCGUUCCACGACUGCUUCUUUGGGGAAUGACGAUAAUCAUCUUGCAGUGCUGGACCUUGGACUCUUCCAUCUCCCAGGAAGCCCUGGGAGACGUCAGCCCUUCUGCACAGGGAUCACAUGCUGCAACAUCUUGCAGACUCAUGGCUCUAUCAGGAAAGAGACAAGGUGACCCCACCAUGAAAACAGAACCCCUUUUGUGGUCGUCCUGUUGGCAAGUUGUUACUCACCAUUUCCUCCUUCCUUUGGCUGAAAGUGGAUGAAUGCAAAGGGCCCAGAGGACUGGCUGGAUUCUGACCUUUUGUCCCUGGGGCUUAGGAGGUGACAGUCUGGGCCAUUGGUGUGUGUGGGGGGGUGUGUGUGUGGGGGGUGUGUGUGUGUGUGUGUGGUUUCUAUUCAUGUAGUUUCCUUCAUUGCUAUUUUAAAUAAAUUGUCCCUUUUUAUCA
rnacentral:lncRNA from 1 species